UUGAAGUGAUUGUGAAGAUCUAGUGUAGGAGUGAAGAGUUUUUGGUGCUAGUUUGAAGGGAGAUCACCAAAAGAAGUCCAAGUCCUCUUCUUUCAUCAUCUCUCCUAGAAAUAUACCAUAUUUCGAAGAGGUAUAUAUCGCUUUCUUGCCAUCCAUAUCUAUUUUCAAUUCCUUGUAUUAAUCCUUGAUGUAUUUGGUGAUCUUUGUCAAAAGUUUGAAAUCUUGACAGAUUCACUAACCUUUCUUGUGGGGGCUAUAGAGGCCAUUAUGCUAUGAAUUGGAGAAAAUCACCACAAUUUUUUUUGAGGAAAGUGAGUCUAAUCAAUAGAAAGUCGAUAACAUCCUAUUUGGACUUGAAUAUUUUUUUUAUGAUCAAAACGCUAAACAUGGGUUUGGCUGUAAAACUUCAAAAUAUGAAACCUAGACUUCUUUUUUUUGUUUUGAUUGCUUGUUUCUAAUUGGGAUUUUGUGAACCCUCUUAGGGCUCCUAACGGUCUCUUGGUGAGUGUCUUCUUCAAAUCAUUUCUUACCAUAACUUGGAUUUGAGGUGAGUAAAUUAUUAUGGCUUACUAAGUACAUGAUUUGAAUGCUUGUAUGUUUUGCUACAAAUUCAUAACCUUGGCUUGUGUGUGAGAUGUUGUAAUAUGAAUUUUUUAUAAUGUUUGGCUUCUAAAAAUAUGUCAUAUGGCAAUAAAUAAUAAUCUAGGAGAAGUGUGAUAUUCCAGAUAUAAUAAAAUGAUGAAUUUAUGCAUCAAAUGAGUAGCAGGCUAAUGCUACUGGUGAGGACUUGAGAAUGUGGUUGAAAUGUGAUAUUAUGCAUGUUAAAGUUUUGUUUUCACAUGAUAAUAUAAAACUAGGGAAUGCAUGCUACUAGGUAUAUUGUUGAAAUGAAUANCCCCCCCCCCCCACACACACACACACACUUAUAUGUGAGUUCAUGUGGUAAAUUUGUAAACAUGCCUCGUUGUAAUAAUUGAUAAGUUUUGUUAUGUUUAUGCUAUUUGGUGAAUUUUGCUAUGUAAAAUGCUUAAUUGUUAUAUUACUAAAGUAUAAUUCUAUAAAUGAUGUGGUAAAAAUGUUUAAUGUAUAACUCAUAGGCGAGACUCAUUAAUUGUAACAAUUGAUAAAAUAAGUCAAAGAUUUGUCGCCCAACCACCGUGAACAUUUCUAUAAAUUGGACUCAUUGUACAAUACAUCAAUACUGAUUAAGCAAGCUAAGAAGUAUUAUAUUUCAUUGCUCAAAAAUUUAUCUAUUUUGAACUUAAGAUUUAAGAUUUUCAUCCGAGUUCAUCUAAAAAAAACAAAAAGUUAUUUUAUUCUAAUGAGGAACCAGUUUCGUAAAAAUCAUAGAAUCACAAUGAAAUGAGCAUGAAACCUCAAUUUAUUAAUGUUAACAUAAUUUAUAUUAUUGGAAAUUCAUUCCGAGUAUAAAUUAGCAAUCCAAUCCAGGAGAUAUGCAAUUUCUAAUGAUAGAAAUAACCCUGUAUUUCUAAAUGUGUGUGCAACUAUAUAUAUAUAUAUAUAUAUAUAUGUGUNUAUAUAUAUAUAUAUAUAUAUAUAUAUAUAUAUGAAACAUAAUUUAUAAUCAAUUAUAAGUGUUUUAGUAUAGUUUUUAUAAAAUAUACAACAUAUUUGACUUGGACAUCAAAAAAAUCACAAUAUAUAUGUUAAAUAACAAAAGCACUAAAUUAUUUACAUGUAUAGGUGUAUGUACCCGAGACGAAUUUAAGUCAGUUCUAGGUGUUGUUUCCCUGCUUGAAGUGAUUGUGAAGAUCUAGUGUAGGAGUGAAGAGUUUUUGGUGCUAGUUUGAAGGGAGAUCACCAAAAGAAGUCCAAGUCCUCUUCUUUCAUCAUCUCUCCUAGAAAUAUAUCAUAUUUCGAAGAGGUAUAUAUCGCUUUCUUGCCAUCCAUAUCUAUUUUCAAUUCCUUGUGUUAAUCAUUGAUGUAUUUGGUGAUCUUUGUCAAAAGUUUGAAAUCUUGAUAGAUUCACUAACCUUUCUUUCGGGGGCUAUAGAGGCCAUUAUGCUCUGAAUUGGAGAAAAUCACCACAAAAACAAAAUUGUGGGCAAGUGAGUCUAAUGAUUAGAAAGUCUGAUAACAUCCUCUUUGGAGUUAAAUAUUUUUUUAUGAUCAAAACACUAAACUUGGGUUUGGCUGUAAAACUUCAAAAUAUGAAACUUAGACUUCUUUUUUUUGUUUUGAUUGCUUAUUUCUAAUUGGGAUUUUGUGCACUCCUUUAGGGCUCCUAAUGGUCUCUUGGUGAGUGUUUUCCUAAAUUUAUUUCUUACCAUAACUUGGAUUUGAGGUGAGUAAAUUCUUGUGGCUUACUAAGUACAUGAUUUGAAUGCUUGUAUGUUUUGCUACAAAUUCAUAACCUUGGCUUGUGUUUGAGAUGUUGUAAUAUGAAUUUUGUAUAAUGUUUGGCUUCUGAAAAUAUGUCAUAUGGCAGUAAAUAAUAAUUUAGGAGAAGUGUGAUAUUCCAGAUAUAAUAAAAUGAUGAAUUUAUGCAUCAAAUGAGUGGUAGGAUAAUGCUACUGGUGAGGACUUGAGAAUGUGGUUGAAAUGUGAUAUUAUGCAUGUUAAAGUUUUGUUUUCACAAGAUAAUAUAAAACUAAGGAAUGCAUACUACUAGGUAUAUUGUUGAAAUGAAUAUUAACNNNNNNNNNNNNNNNNNNNNNCGCCCCCCCCCCCCCACACACACACACACUUAUAUGUGAGUUCAUGUGGUAAAUUUGUAAACAUGCCUCGCUGUAAUAAUUGAUGCGUUUUGUUAUGUUUAUGCUAUUUGGUGACUUUUGCUAUGUAAAAUGCUUAAUGGUGAUAUUAUUAAAGUAUAAUUCUAUAAAUGAUGUGGUAAAAAUGUUUAAUGUAUAACUCAUAGGUGAGACUUAUUAAUUGUAACAAUUGGUAAAAUACGUCAACGAUUUGUCGGCCAACCACCGUGAACAUUUCUAUAAAUUGGACUCAUUGUACAGUACAUCAAUAUUGAUUAAGAAACCUAAGAAGUAUUAUAUUUCAUUGCUCAAAAAUUUAUUUAUUUUGAACUUAAGAUUUAAGAUUAUCAACCGAGUUCAUUUAAAAAAAAAACAAAAGGUUAAUUUAUUCUAAUGAGGAUCCAGUAUCAUAAAAAUCAUAGAAUCACAAUGAAAUGAGCAUGAAACCUCAAUUUAUUAAUGUUAACAUAAUUUCUAUUAUUGGAAAUUCAUUCCGAGUAUAAAUUAGAAAUCCAAUCCGGCAUAUAUGCAAUUUCUAAUGUUAGAAAUAACCCUGUAUUUCUAAAUGUGUGUGGAACUAUAUAUAUAUAUAUAUAUAUAUGUGUGUGUGUGUGUGUGUGUGUAUGAAACAUAAUUUAUAAUCAAUUAUAAGUGUUUUAGUAUAGUUAUUAUAAAAUAUACAACAUAUUUGACUUGGACAUCAAAAAAUCACAAUAUAUAUGUUAAAUAACAAAAACACUAAGUUAUUUACAUGUAUAGGUGUAUGUGCCCAAGACAACUUUAAGUCGGUUCUAGGUGUGGUUUCCCUGCUUAAAGUGAUUGUGAAGAUCUAGUGUAGGAGUGAAGAGUUUUUGGUGCUAGUUUGAAGGGAGAUCACCAAAUGAAGUCCAAUUCCUCUUCUUUCAUCAUCUCUCCUAGAAAUAUACCAUAUUUCAAAGAGGUAUAUAUCGCUUUCUUUCCAUCCAUAUCUAUUUUCAAUUCCUUGUCUUAAUCCUUGAUGUAUUUGGUGAUCUUUGUCAAAAGUUUGAAAUCUUGUCAGAUUCACUAACCUUUCUUGCGGGGGCUAUAUAGGCCAUUAUGCUCUGAAUUGGAGAAAAUCACCACAAAAACAAAAUUGAGGGCAAGUGAUUCUAAUCAUUAG
rnacentral:lncRNA from 1 species